UGAAUAGUCUUGGAGCAGUCAUCAAGGUGAAUGAUGGGAAGGGAAAAUGACUUUGGUUGAGCGUUGCUGAGGAGCCGGCUAAGGACAGAGAUAACUGGAAGAGCCCACGAGCAUAAUUUUGUGUGUCUCUUGCAUGGGUUGCAGUUUGGGAAUAGGGGUGGGCUCUGGUGGAUCACCGGGAGAAUGACAGUUUCUCCCAGGACUUGGUAGGACUUGGUACAAGUCAGGGAAACAAGGAAGAUGUUGAGCCACUUACCAGUGUGGAGGAAUGUCCUGGAGGUUGGUAGGUCAUGGCAAAGAUGGAAGAACUUCUGAAGAGGAGUUAGCUUGUCUGGUGACCUUGGAGAAUGAGCCAAGUGGAAAGGUUAGGAGGAAAGAUCCAGGCAAGUCUGAGUUUCAGUUCAGGAGGGAAGUAGGAGUGUUUUAAGGAAAGGUCGAGGGCAGAUGAGAGCUGUUGGCCGCUCCUUCAACCAUUCCUCAUAAUGGCAGCUGGAGGCUCUAUCUGAUGCUGCCUUGAGAAAACACAGCCCUCCAGCUAGGUAUGACCGGAGAAGUAGGGGUUUUCUGGUACUUUGUUAAUGCAUUCCAAGACUGUGUUAACUUUUUGUCAUCCUGUCCCACUGUGGCCUGCAGUCCAAGAAGAGCUCUGAUCUUAGGGCAGGCUUCCCCCAUCCUGUCUUGGAGUUGACCAAAGGGCAGCACUGUACUUUCUUAUUCGGUUUCAUUAUGUUGCUUCCAUCUCCUCCUUCCAUCCUGUUAGGGUUAUUUUAUAGUUCUGAUGCUUCACCCAGUAUGCUGGCUGUUCCUCACAACGUGGUCUCAUCUUGCAGCUUAGAUAGGUUGUUUCUAAUUCUUUAAGACUUUAGGGAACAUGCUGGAUGUAACUAGGAUCAGAACGCCCUUGAACCUGUCACCAUGCACCUCUUUCAAAGCUGACCAUGAUUCACCUCGAUUCAUCCCCGCUACCACUUUCUGGUAGGCCUCGUAGCUGGCUAUAAAUCACAUUAGAGAUAAGGUAGUUAGUUACCUGGCUGAGGUCAAGAUGCACAACGGACGGAUGCUUUUUCUUCUAGUCUGUUGCUGAAGUAAUCCUAAGAAGCAGGUUUUUAGUGAACCCAUUCUGCUUUCUGAUUGUCACCGUGGAGCUCAAGUGUGACAAGCCCGUGGUACACAGGCUGUGGAAGGUGACUUAGAGUUUUCAGUGGGCUUGCAAGCAAGUGGUCACCAACAGAGGCUCCAAAAAACUAGUUGACAUUGAGAUUUUACCAAUAGCAAUGCUGUUUGCAGAAUAAGGUAAACGGGGUAAGCAAAUGGAAAACUACUAGAUGUUGUGCAGUAAAGGCAUUACCUUCAAGCAAUUUAAUAAGUAUCACGGGGUGGAGGGUGGGGGGGAAGGAAUGCCAGCGAGCAAAGCUAAGAUUAGUAGUGAGUGGAGUUAUGGGGAGACAGACUUUAUUUUUACUAUGACUUUGUAGCCCUGAUCUGUCAAAUAGAAACCCUUUGCCUACUGUUCUCCACAGUUCUUGCGAUACCGUGGGGUAUGAUUCAUCUUGGAGCAGAACCUUGAAUUCACUUAAAGCACAAGUCUCUCUCCUCUGUCUUCUUACCUCUCCCGAGCCUUAAUUUCCUCUUAAGCAUGUUUGUUGUGUUCAUUCUAUUUGAAGAUCAUUCUUGAUAGGGAAGAUUAAAUCAGAAUAGUGUUGGGUAAUUUUCCUUUUUUAUCAUCACUAAAAAUUACGCCCUUUGUUCUCAAACUUUGGUGCAUAUUAGCGUCACCUGGGGAGCCUGUUAAAACUACAGAUGCCUGCUGGGGCGCCUGGGUGGCUCAGUCAGUUGAGCGUCCGACUUCAGUUCAGGUCAUGAUCUCGUAGUUCGUGAGUUCAAGCCCCACACUGGGCUCUGCAGAGCCAGCUUCUCAUCCUCUUAUUCAGUUUCUCUCUGCCCCUCUCCCUGCUCGUGCUCUCUCGAGGAUAAAUAAAACAUUAAAAAAAAAAAAAGUACAGAUGCCCGGGUUUUACCGCUGAACCAGAAUGUAUGAGGUGAAGGCUGCCUGAAUCUUAGCUGCAAGGCCCUGGGUUCUGCUGCUCACCCGGAGCUGAGGUACCUCGGGAGCUUCAUCCCCAUGGUCAGAUGAUGUGUGUGGGCAGCUAAGUGCCUCAGGCUGCUUCCUGGUUUUCCCAAGUGCAGCUCCUGGACUCCACCCUUCUGUCCAUUUCAGCUGCUGUUUUCCCUGUACACCCUUCCCUGUGUGCUGAGCCCUAGGCUGGGCUUGUGCCCUGUUUCUAUUAUGAUGCUGUCGGAGGGAGAUGUUAAAAAAUGCAUAUCUGAUUAUGUCACCCCAUGCUUGAAACACCUCCGUGACCUUUCACUGCACUUAGGAUAAAGCUGGAAACCUCUAGUGUGGCCCGGCAGGUUCUGCCUGGCCUGACUCCUCCUUGUGCUCCUCUCCCACUAUUUUGAACCUUUUGUCAGUAAUCCACCCACACUGGCUCUCUCAACUCCUCAAGAAACCAUACUGCCUCCAUCCCAGGAACUUGAUAUACACUGUUUGCUUUGCCUAAAGCUUUCUUACCCUCACCUACUAAUCUACUGGUUUUGCUGGCCAUUGAGUUCUUGACUUAAUUAUCACAUCACAUCAUAUCACAUCACAUCACAAGCCUUGACCCCCAGGUGUGACUACAGCCCCCCACUGUGUGUUGUUAUGGUGCCAAGAAAUCUCCUUUCUAGUACUUAUCACAGUUACAUGAUUAGUUGAUUAAUGUCAGUCUCCCCUACCAGAUUGUAAACUCCGUGAAGUUAGGGAUUAGGUCUGUCUUUAUCUCACUAUUAAUAUCUCUAGUGCCUAGCACAGUACCAGGGUAGGCUACUCAGAACAUGUUUUUUGAAUGAAUGGAUGGAUGGAUGGAUGGGUGAAUGAAUGACCAGGAGAUAAUUCUUAGGACAGUGGAUAUCAUCAUCUAUCUGACAAUAGGAAUCGCCAGGCCUGGGGACCUGUGAUACCCUCACUGCUAUAUCUGACCCCCUGGAUGUGGAUAUCAGCCUGAUUAGACCUGAACUGACUGUACCCACUUCAGUGUGAUAAUUUGAACUAAAGGUCACUUCCCCUGGCCAGCACCACAUCCCAGUUAUAUCUCAAGUUCUGGUUCUGUUUGUAUCUUAUUCCUUUCCCUCUGCCGGCUUUAACAUUGAGGUCCAGGAGAUGCCAAUUCUGAGGCCAGAUUAGGGGUGACAUAUGGUACAGACUCUUGAUUCAUCUAGUAGGUUGUUUUUUCUAAAUAAGAAAAUCACCCUCGUUUUUUAAAUAAGAUGGUUAUGAGUCUCAUUCAUCCAAAAGCUGUUGAUACUUUUAAGGCACUUACUCAUUACCUUGUCUUCAUUUAACUUCCUUCUGUUGUUUUUUUUUUGUUUUAACCUUUCGUUACGGGAUAUGACCUCUUAGACUCUACAUAGCAUUUCUCAUUCUCUUCCCUGCUGUCGUCUCCUAAGAGUUACUAAGUUCCUCUUCUCCCAUUGUCUGCUUUGUGACAUAACUUGUCAUGCCCGGCGUACCUUGCGUCGCAUCCAGUUUUAUCCAAGUAUCGUGCUGCUUUUUUUCUCCUCAAAUUUCAGUUGAAAGCCCUGUGAGUCAGUUGGGUUGGUCUUCUGCCAAAUGAACCUGGCAGCCAUCUUGGUCCGUUUGAGAAAGCCCUGGGUUGGGGUGGGGAGAGGAGGGGGAGUCAGAAUCCUGCUCUUGGUGCCUUCCGUGCUGAGAUGAGCCAUGAUGCUCCGUGACGGGAGAUGCUGUCGGUGUCAGCCAUCAGCUACCUUCAGCCCAAGUCAGCUCAACACACCUUCAGUAAUUUCAGUUACAACUGCUGUCUUCCAGAAAGGAGUGAGGGUAGGGAGCCCACUUUUCUGAGUAGUUAGAAUUAUAGCAUUUCGUCGCAGGAAAGCAUCUUAGAGAUAACACAUCCGUUCUCAUCUCAUCUUCCAGGUGCAGUGAGACUCGGGAGAAGGUAAAUUAGUGGUACACAGCUGCACACCUGUUGUCAAAGCCACCAGUCCAGGGCUCUUCCUGUGCUUGGAGGAGCCUGUUUGGCUUAGGAACCGUGUGUCCUAUUAGUCAAGAGAACGAGAAGUGAGUGGGAGAGCUCGUUCUAAAAAUCCAGUCUAGCUAAAAAGGUUAUGAGAGAAGACACAGAAUUUAAACAUUUACUAUUUAGUGUAAACUGUUUUGAAAUGGGAAUUAACUUACAUGUGGCUGUGCGUGUAUUUGUGUUAUGAAUGAUAGUGAUAUGGCAGAAAUAGUUUAGGAUAGGAAACUGUAAAUCUGCCUCUCUCUGUUGAGAUUAUGGGCUUUAUUCGACCCUGGUAGCAAUUGAGAGGUAUAAUUUUAAGCUAGUAAACUCUACACACAGUUCAUUUUAAGUACUCCAGUUUUCUUAAGAAAUAUUUGAUGUUUAUACAGACUAAGUAAUGAUUUGAGUAAUGAGUAGGGAAAAAAAUGGGUGGGGCUUUCUAACUGUACCCUGCCCCACCCCCCCCACCCCAGUACAGCAGGUGCUCACUCUAGACACACUGAGCUUUGGCAGAAACCAUCAGCCCUUGUCGGGUCACAUUACACAGAAGCCUGCUGGCACCAGAGACAGGAAGAAGCCUUUUGUGUGCUGGUUCAGGCUUUGCCCCUGCUAACUUGUUUCCUCCUAUCUCUGCGUGAAGUUCAACACCGCGUCCAUGGUGUGCCUUGUCGUGAGUGAUUCUUAGGAAAGCAGGCCCUUCUUCACACCCACAUAUGUUUAACCAAAGUGUUUACAAAAGGAGGCCUGCUAAGAGCAACCACUGAGUCUCCAUGCUUAGCUCUCACUGGGCUUUCACGCGGCUCUGUGCCCACUCUGCUCCCCCGCAACUCAAACUUAUUCAAACUUAAGAAAAGACACUGAUGUAUUUUCCUAGAGUCAGUUCAUUUUCCUAUGGUGCCUUUUCCCUAACUAUCUGCCUUCCUCUUCCUCUCUUUUUGUGACCCCAAGUGUAUGGAGCUUAAUUAUGCAGACAUGUAAUUAGCUUUUCAGUCAUUUGAAAGUAUGGAUGCUCUUAGAGCCAUGACUCUUUUUAUACCAUUUUAGGAGAUGAAUGGCCACUCCUUCCUUUUCCCCAUCCCUGUGACUGAACUUCAUAAGCUAUGGUCCAGCUCAAAGAAGAGAGCUUGCUUUCCUUGUAUCCAUAGGUUUAAAUAAAUGUUUGCCUCCAUUUUUGCCUGGUACUGAGACACCUUGAGACAUGGGAACCACUCUUCCCCAAUUAGCACGUGGGGGCAUCUCCUGGGUACUUGCCUUGUGUACUUUGUGUUUUGGGGGUUUAUAGCACUGAUCCCCAAGAAGCCCAAGCAGAAGGAUCACCCCCCCUGGCAAGAGAGCUUAUGAAAUCUACUCUGACAUUGAUGCUUCAUGGUUCAUUUCUAUCUUUAGAGUGUUUUUUAAAGACAGAAGUACAUGGUUUGAACAUUUUAAAAAAUUUUUUUAAUGUUUAUUUUCGAGAGAGAGAGACAGAGACAGAGAGAGACCGAGCACGAGCGGGGGAGGAGCAGAGAGAGAGGGAGACACAGAAUCCGAAACAGGCUCCAGGCUCUGAGCUGUCAGCACAGAGCCCGACGCGGGGCUCGAACUCACAAACCGUGAGCUCAUGACCUGUGCCAAAGCUGGAUGCUCAACCGAAUGAGCCACCCAGGUGAUAAUUUGCUGGUUCGCCAAAACAGCAUGCAAAAACUCCUUUCCCCCCACCCCUCAAAAGCCCUGUUAAGAUGGCAGUAAUGACUACUUGUACUUUGCAGUUGGGAAAGGGACAGAUAAGAACCUUGCCUGUGACUUAGUGAGUUGGGAGAGAAACUGGAAAGUGUACACAGAAUUCUGGGCUUCUGGUGUGUUUUAAAAAACAUAAGCCAUAUGGGGCAACCCCACACAGUGUUGGUAGUAGUCGUGUGUGUGACAGACCAUGCCUCAGAACCAAUGCUGAUGGAUUCUUUCUGUAAAACCUGAACUCUUAGUAACUAGAAUCGAUCUGUUCUUGCAAAGGAGACCCUGAUUUCUUCUGGAAGGGUACAGUUACAGAUCCGAGGUGUCUAUGAAAUAGCCUGACCUUAUGUGCCUGGUGGUAGUUCUUGGUAUGCUUGCACAGUUCCAUCGGGGGCCCAUUUUCUCACUGGCUUCAUGCAGGCCGUGGGAGCUCUCUGUGCCCUAGGCCCUCUCUCAUUUAGUCAUCUUGAUUUGCCACUUCCUGCCUGUGAGUAUGGCAGGCCCAUCAUAGAGGGAGGACCUGAUUUUCUCUCUCAAGUUUAUCUUACAGGUCAAACUUGACCCCAGCUGCCCUUCAAAACCCCCCUUUGUAGGUGAGAACAGAGACGCGUGGGAAGAAAUAGGGGCACAGUCCUAUGUAAACCCUCCUCUGAUAUUUAGGAUUCCAGAUUUCCCAAGCACUAAUGAGUAUGUGCGCAGGGAAAAAAAAAAAAAAAGCAACAC